rnacentral:rRNA from 1 species
CUGAGAAGGCGGUGCAAGCCGUUUGACAGUAAGCCAGGAAUAAGUGUCGGCUAACUACGUGCCAGCAGCCGCGGUAAACGUAGGACGCAAGCGUUAUCCGGAGUUACUGGGCGUAAAGCGCGGGCAGGCGGUUUCCUAAGUCUGACGUUAAAUCUCCCGGCCUAACCGGGAGGAGUCGUUCAAUACUGCGGGGGCUGGAGGGCAGAAGAGGGGGGUGGAAUUGCUGGUGUAGUGGUGAAACGCGUAGAUAUCAGCAGGAACACCUGUGGCGAAAGCGGCCCCCUGGUCUGCUCCUGACACUCAGACGCGAAAGCUAGGGGAGUGAACGGGAUUAGAAACCCCGGUAAUCCUAGCCGUAAACGAUGGAUGCUAGGUGUGGGUGGUAUUGACCCCAUCCGUGCCGAAGCCAACGCGUUAAGCAUCCCGCCUGGGGACUACGGCCGCAAGGUUA